rnacentral:rRNA from 1 species
UACAGAGGUGGCAAGCGUUGUUCGGAAUUACUGGGCGUAAAGGGCGCGUAGGCGGCCUACUAAGUCAGACGUGAAAUCCCCCGGCUUAACCUGGGAACUGCGUCUGAUACUGGAAGGCUUGAGGAUGGGAGAGGGAUGUAGAAUUCCAGGUGUAGCGGUGAAAUGCGUAGAUAUCUGGAGGAAUACCGGUGGUGAAGGCGGCAUCCUGGACCAUUACUGACGCUGAGGCGCGAAAGCUAGGGGAGCAAACGGG